AUGCUUACAGGUUAUUACGCUGGUGGUAACCCGGCAAACGUCCCGUGGCAAGCUUCACAAAUUGCAGGUGGAGCAUGUCAUUAUGGUGUCAUAGACCACACAAGAUGGUCAAAUGUAGCACAACAAGGGCCUACAACUACACUGAACAGCGACACGGGGACAUCUACUGCGCGGAGCUCUAAGCGCACGGAAGACGCGUUCCACCAACCAGCAGACAAUCAUGCCGCAAACAAUUUCGAGUCAGAGUCGGGAAUGGCAAUCAUUCCAGUAAUGCCGACAAGCACCCCUUUGAACACAAGCACUGGCAACACUCAAGUGGAUGGAACUGCCACCGAUACUGAAAGAUUUGAAUCAUUCGAACAAGCAAAGGAAUACUACCAGACAUAUGCAAAUUUCCAUGGAUUUGCGGUCAACACCGAAUACCAUAGGAAAAUUAAGAAAACUAACGAGUAUAGCAGAGGUGAGAUGAGGUGCCACAAGGCACAGAGGAACAAGAAUGGGAAAGGUGUUGCGCCUGUCGUUCCGGAACGAAAGAGAGGUAUCAUUCUCAAGACUGAGUGCCCUGUCCGGUGUAAGCUAAACGUAGAUGGAGCACAGUGGGUGGUCAAUGAAUAUUUUGACGAGCACAACCACCAACUCAUAAAGAAGUUCGACCUGGCCAAGUACCGUAGAGAGAGCAAGUUGGCAGACAUAGAGGCCAUAAUGGCCUACUUCAAUGAGAAAGCGAAUGAAGAUCCAGAUUUCUUCUACAGGAUAAGGUUGGACGAUGAGGACCGUGUCAGGAACAUGUAUUGGGUGGAUGGCAUAGAGGAGGUCUUUCCGUUGGCAGUGCACAGGCACUGCAGGUGGCACAUUAUAAAGAAGGCUGAGGAGACGCUAGGACCGUUCUUUGCUAACCGUCCAGAGCUGCACAAGGCAUUCGAGCUGUGCGUGGACCAUAGCUUGACGGUGGAGGAGUUUGAAAGGAGCUGGAUGGCCAUGACUGAAACACAUCAAGUCCAAGACAACGAGACUCUUGUUAGCCUGUGGGAGAAGCGAAUGUACUGGGUGCCGGCCUACUUCAUGCAAUGCUUCUUCCCCUUUCUGCAGACUACGCAGUGCAGCGAGGGGUUCAAUGCUGUUUUGAAGCGGUACGUCGGCCCUAGCAACUCAUUGCUACAGUUUGCCAAGCAGUACAUAGCUUUGCAACAAAAAAUUCUGGGAUCUGAGCUACAUCAAGAAGCGACCACGGCACUAAAAUUCCAGGAAGAAAUAAAGCGUGACAGCAUGUUCACGGCUUUCCAGGUGGACGAACAUACGUUCAAGGUGUGUUCUAUUUUGGGCGUGUCAGAUUCAGAACCUAAAGACCCAGACAAAGGAAGGAACUACUUCGUCAAAGCCUCGAUAGGCGAAGGCGAGUACUACUGCCAACGCUGCAAGUUCGAACGGGACGACAUUACAACACACGCAGUUCUGGCUGUGCAUGACGAGAGACCUGAUUCAACCAUGGAAGCCGUGAGGCACGUUGUGCUGACAAAGAACUAUGCUGAGCUAAUUUAUGAAGCGUGCAAGAGUGAUGAGACAGCGAGAGUCGCAGAAAAACACAGGAAGGCACUGAAAAGAGAGCUUGAUGAGAUCAAGAAGAGGAAAGCUGAGGAAGCCUUACACCGGUUCCCCCGCACAUCAAGUGUGCCUUCAUCCACGGGGCCAUCAUCUGAAAACUCGGAGAUAGGAUCUGGAACAGCAAGCACACAGACCCAGGUCAGGAACCCACCCCGUUCUAUCACAAAGGGUUGUUCAACAGAGAUAAGGUACAAGUAG
rnacentral:rRNA from 1 species